rnacentral:tRNA from 1 species
AUCCCUUUAGCGCAAUGGAUAGCUCGUUGAACUUCUAAUCCAAAGGUCGUGGGCUCGAAUCCCACCUGGGAUG